rnacentral:rRNA from 1 species
UGGGAAGAGCUGGCAGGGAGCGGCGGUAAUACGUGGGGGGCAAGCGGUAUCCGGAAUUAUGGGGCGGAAAGUGCGCGUAGGCGGUUUUUUAAGUCUGAUGUGAAAGCCCACGGCUCAACCGUGGAGGGUCAUUGGAAACUGGAAAACUUGAGUGCAGAAGAGGAAAGUGGAAUUCCAUGUGUAGCGGUGAAAUGCGCAGAUAUCAGGAGGAACACCGGUGGCGAAGGCGGCGACCUGGUCCUAUACUGACACUCAUACACGAAAGCGUGGGGAUCAAACAGGAUUAGAUACCCGUGUAGUC